AGCGAACGCUGGCGGCAGGCCUAACACAUGCAAGUCGAACGAAGUCUUCGGACUUAGUGGCGGACGGGUGAGUAACACGUGGGAACGUGCCUUUAGGUUCGGAAUAACUCAGGGAAACUUGUGCUAAUACCGAAUGUGCCCUUCGGGGGAAAGAUUUAUCGCCUUUAGAGCGGCCCGCGUCUGAUUAGCUAGUUGGUGAGGUAAAGGCUCACCAAGGCUACGAUCAGUAGCUGGUCUGAGAGGAUGACCAGCCACAUUGGGACUGAGACACGGCCCAAACUCCUACGGGAGGCAGCAGUGGGGAAUCUUGCGCAAUGGGCGAAAGCCUGACGCAGCCAUGCCGCGUGGAUGAUGAAGGUCUUAGGAUUGUAAAAUCCUUUCACCGGCGAAGAUAAUGACUGUAGCCGGAGAAGAAGCCCCGGCUAACUUCGUGCCAGCCGCCGCCGUAAGAC
rnacentral:rRNA from 1 species